UACAGUAGAGUUGGUGAAUUUUUAACAUGUUUGGUCCACAUAUUUGCUAUAUGUCACAAUUGGUCCAAUUGUUCAUCGAAAUUGCAAUUUGGCCCUGCUCAAUGUCACCGCUUUUUUUCCCUACAUUUCAUCUCCUUGGUUUGAGAGCCCUCCUGUACAUGUGGUGGCGUUGGGAUAUCCACUACGUGUUUUCCGUUCAACCUUCUCUCUUCUCUACUCACCGAUUCUCCUAUAAUCCACCGCUCCUUUCCUCUAAUCAUUCAACUCCACCGCCAUCGCAUAUGAGUUCCAGAAAUAGUGGGGAUCGAUUUCGCCUUCCGCCUCCUUCUUCCCGAACCCCUUAGUCGCACGCUCCCGUAAAUAUUUUAGAGAAGCAAUAUGUAACUUCCGCUCAUGGCUUCUAAUUCUGUGGGUCCGGCUUCUGAUUGUUUUCAAGCAACUUCAGUUUUAUUUUUCUCAUCUAAAUUCAUGUUAUUUAUCUUUUUUCCUUUUCUGCUUCAAGGCUUCUGAUUGCUUGGUUUCAUAAAUUUCUUCUAUUUUUCCAUCAUCUGAACAAUCAUGGAGCAGAAAUCGACUAAACGCUCUUCACUCAAGGUAAAUUUCUUGACCUCACCAGAGAAAUCCCUAAUGUUAUUAGGAGUUUAAUCAAUUUUUUUAUUCUUCAAUUGCUUUUGGUUGUCUGGUAAGUGCAGGGGCGACAGAUACAUGGUUAGCUCUAAUGGUUGAAGUAUUCUUUUUGCCUAAUAUAUUGAAAUUUCCUUUCCAUUUCUUUUUGUAAAUUGAAAAACAUUUCGAAAUCUCUAUCUAUUAACUUAUCAUUCACUUUGAAACUCAAAAAGAUAAAAUCGAUCAACUUAUCAAUUUUGCUUUUUUUUUUUUAUUACCAGUUGCCCAUAGUGAAAAUAUCACUACAGUUGAAGAGAUUCAUACAUACAGUUUGAAACAAUUAAGUUCUUUCAUAGAAGUGGAGGAGCCUGUGGCAAUGGACUCUUCUAAUACAUCAAAAUCAUGUCAAUAUUGGGUUGUCAGUGGUUCUAUUUCAGGUUUUUAUGUGAUAAUAUCAUUAUCCAAGAUUCGGGUGAGAAUUAUAUAUCAUGUUUAUUUUAAAAGUUUGAGAAGCUACAAGUUGAUGCUUAUAUGACAUAUAUUAUUAUGUCUCCAGAUGUUGCUUUGAAUUUCUAAAAUUUAUGGUUUCUUCACCAAAGAAAGAACUGUCACUGUGCAGCUAAGGAAAUUACAUAUAUAUGGUACAAGAUCGUAUUUUUUGUUUCUUAUUGUAGUUCACAAGUUUAUUACCACAAAAUCCAUUGACAAAAUUCAGUAAAGUGGAUUUAUCUCAUAUCAGUUGUGUGCUUAUUUAUUUGUUUCCAUUCAUUUUUUCAUUCUGUAUGUUUUGUUUCUAAUAAGUACUUAUGAAUUUAUUCUUAUUCUUUAUUUUUUGUCUUCCUAAACAACUUUUAUAUAUUUUAAUCAAGCAUGUUUGUUUUUCUAUUGUGAUCAUGCUUACACACUUACCAAAUUUUCAUAGGUUUUCUAACUGAUAUAUGGUGACUGUAUCUUUAUAAAUUAUAGAUGGAAUGUUGUGAAUGUAAAAUAUAGGUAAUUUGAUCUAAUUAAAAAAAAAAGAUUUAGUAGCUAAGAAAUAGUAUUUGUACAUAAAAGUUACAGAUGUCAAAGUGAAUAAUAGAUGAAGUCAACUUGAAUAACGUCUUAAAAUGAAUAAAAUGGGAAUGGAAUGGAUACUUUUUUUAACCAAAUGAAUAUGGAUCCGAUUUCUUUGCUUCUAAUUAUAAUAUUUAAAUUUGUAUUUUAUUUUUCUUGACAAAAGCAUGUAUGUUUUAAGAAAAUGUAAAAUUUGAUUUCUUUUUUCAUUAAAACAUGCAUAUGAACUUACUAAUUGUUUGAAUUCAACGACUGAUUUUGCAACCUAUAAUGCAAAUCAUACAUUUUUUAUGAACGCCUGAGAUCCUUAACUUUCACAGCUGAGUCAUUUCAUUUUUAUGCAUUGAGUACAAAAAAUACGUCCAUGUAUGUCUUACCAGAUUAAGUCAUGUCUUAUAAAUAAAUUUAACAUAUUCUUUUUGUAAGUUCUAGUAGAAAUACUAAAUGUAUUUGGGUUUUUUUCUCUUGGUGAAUGUAGGUUCCACUUCCACAUUCUAUGGAAAUACUACUUGCGAAAUUAAACAAAGUAGUUUGCUGCAUCUUCAUAGUUCACAAAGUAGUUUGCUGCAUCUUCAUAGUUCCAAAGUAUUUGAGUUACUCAUAGAGUAGUUUCCAUCUUGAUUAUGUCAAUUUCUUCUUACAAGAUUGUCAUUAUCAUGUUUUUAUUAUUAUUAUUAUUAUUAUUAUUAUUAUUUUUUUUUUUUAAUUUUUUUUUAACUCAAAAGUUUUAUAAAUAUGCCAC
rnacentral:lncRNA from 1 species